GUGAGGAAUAUUGCGCAAUGGAGGCAACUCUGACGCAGCCAUGCCGCGUGCAGGAAGAAGGCGCUACGCGUUGUAAACUGCUUUUAACCGGGAAGAAACCCCAGGACGUGUCCUGGGUUGACGGUACCGGAGGAAUAAGCACCGGCUAACUUCGUGCCAGCAGCCGCGGUAAUACGAAGGGUGCAAGCGUUAUCCGGAUUCAUUGGGUUUAAAGGGUGCGUAGGCGGAGCGUUAAGUCAGUGGUGAAAUCCUGCAGCUUACCUGUAGGCUUGCCAUUGAUACUGGCGCUCUUGAGUGCGCUUGAAGUGGGCGGAAUGUGCCGUGUAGCGGUGAAAUGCUUAGAUAUGGCACAGAACACCAAUUGCGAAGGCAGCUCACUAAGGCGAUACUGACGCUGAGGCACGAAAGCGUGGGGAUCGAACAGGAUUAGAUACCCCAGUAGUCC
rnacentral:rRNA from 1 species